rnacentral:rRNA from 1 species
UACGAAGGGGGCAAGCGUUGUUCGGAUUUACUGGGCGUAAAGCGCUCGUAGGCGGCUUGUUAAGUCAGGGGUGAAAGCCUAGAGCUCAACUCCAGAACUGCCUUUGAUACUGGCUAGCUCGAGUGUGGAAGAGGUUGGUGGAACUGCUAGUGUAGCGGUGAAAUGCGUAGAUAUUCGCAAGAACACCAGUGGCGAAGGCGGCCAACUGGGCCAUUACUGACGCUGAGGUGAGAAAGCGUGGGGAGCAAACAGG